rnacentral:rRNA from 1 species
GAUGAACGCUGACAGAAUGCUUAACACAUGCAAGUCGAUGGGGAAGUGGUGCUUGCACCCUCGCAACCAUGGCGGACGGGUGAGUAACGCGUAAGGGACUUACCUGCAGGACUGGGAUAACAGGGGGAAACUCCUGACAAGACCGGAUAAUGUCAUGGAGCUGCAUGGCUUUAUGAUGAAAGGAGACGCCUGCGGAGAGCCUUGCGUCCUAUUAGCUAGUUGGUGAGGUAAUGGCUCACCAAGGCGAAGAUAGGUAGCCGGCCUGAGAGGGUGGACGGCCACAAGGGGACUGAGAUACGGCCCUUACUCCUACGGGAGGCAGCAGUGGGGAAUAUUGGACAAUGGGGGCAACCCUGAUCCAGCAAUUCUGUGUGCACGAAGAAGGUUUUCGGAUUGUAAAGUGCUUUCAGCAGGGAAGAAGUAAGUGACGGUACCUGCAGAAGAAGCGACGGCUAAAUACGUG